UACGAAGGGGGCUAGCGUUGUUCGGAAUUACUGGGCGUAAAGCGCACGUAGGCGGAUAUUUAAGUCAGGGGUGAAAUCCCAGAGCUCAACUCUGGAACUGCCUUUGAUACUGGGUAUCUUGAGUAUGGAAGAGGUGAGUGGAAUUCCGAGUGUAGAGGUGAAAUUCGUAGAUAUUCGCAAGAACACCAGUGGCGAAGGCGGCUCACUGGCCCGGUACUGACGCUGAGGUGCGAAAGCGUGG
rnacentral:rRNA from 1 species